GACGAGCGCUGGCGGCGUGCUUAACACAUGCAAGUCGAACGGAAAGUCCCUGCUUGCUGGGUACUCGAGUGGCGAACGGGUGAGUAACACGGGGGUGGUCUGCCCUGCACAUCGUGCUAAGCUGGGGAAACUGAGUCUAAUACCGAGUAGGUACUAUCUUCAGAGUGUUGGUUGGAAAGUUUUUUCGGUGUAGGAUGAGCUCGCGGCGUAUCAGCUUGUUGGUGGGGUAAUGGCCUACCAAGGCGGCGAGGGGUAGCCGGCCUGAGAGGGUGUACGGCCACACUGGAACUGAGAUACGGCCAAGACUCCGACGGGAGGCAGCAGUGGCGAAUAUCGCACAAUGCGCGCAAGCCUGAUGCAGCGAGGCCGCGUGGGCGAUGAAGGCCUUCGGGUUGUAAACUCCUUUCGCUAGGGAAGAAGCUUUGUUGUGACGGUACCUAGAUAAGAAGCACCGGCUAACUACGUG
rnacentral:rRNA from 1 species